rnacentral:rRNA from 1 species
UAAGUUUGUAGUCCUCGGACGUCCAGGACGAACGGACUGGCGGCCGUGGCCUAAUACAUGCAAGUCGAACGGAGAUACGCGCUGAAGAUUUAGCUUGCUAUUGAUCUUGUGUAUCUUAGUGGCGGACGGGUGAGUAACGCGUGAGCAACCUGCCUUUCAGAGGGGGAUAACGUUUGGAAACGAACGCUAAUACCGCAUGACAUUAUUUUGCCGCAUGGUGAGAUAAUCAAAGGAGCAAUCCGCUGAAAGAUGGGCUCGCGUCCGAUUAGGGUAGUUGGCGGGGCAACGGCCCACCAAGCCGACGAUCGGUAGCCGGACUGAGAGGUUGGACGGCCACAUUGGGACUGAGACACGGCCCAGACUCCUACGGGAGGCAGCAGUAAGGGAUAUUGGUCAAUGGGGGAAACCCUGAACCAGCAACACCGCGUGAGGGAAGACGGUUUUCGGAUUGUAAACCUCUGUCCUCUGUGAAGAUGAUGACGGUAGCAGAGGAGGAAGCUCCGGCUAACUACGUG